AAAUUGUAAAUUAUCUAUAUCAAAAAAGAAAUCUUAGAAGUGUCUAUCAACAACUAAUGAGAUCAUAGAUAACUCCUUCACUGAGCUUUGAAUUUCAGUAUGUUCCUCUUUAUCUUGGUGGUGAACAAACAACACCCAUUCCCGGACCUCACUGAACCAUUUGUUCCCAAGUGUUGUCUGCGACAUGAUAUCAUGGCUUAUAAAUAACUCCACGUAAGCCUCUACCUGCACCAAUUCCCUUGUUGAUCCAUCUCUGCUCUGAGUCUCCUAAUCUUUCCAGAAUGAUGAAGGCACUCCUGAGCGCAUGCCUCCUCUUGGUCCUGCUUUCUCCAGGUAAGAUGGGGAACAUUUAAUUACCUUUAGAGGACACUGAAAAGAACUUGCAGCUUGGUAGAGAAGGGGAGUUAGAAGUGCAGAUCAACUCCCUAGAGAGCAAGGAGGGCAGGGUUACCAAGAGAAAGUAGCAGAGAAUUAAGUCAUGAAUAUUUCUUGUGUUGUCAUUAUGAUGGGCCCGCCGACUCUUUUUCCCCUGGCACCGUUGGGCCCGUCCUCUCACUUAAGUAUAGUGCACCCAACUCACCGAACACCAAUCCCACGGAUUUCCACAGUCUACCUCAGAUUAUCUUGUAGGGGAUUUGCGUGAAGUAAAAUUUAAUAAUUAGGAGUUUCGGGCAGGAUUUGCUCAAAUAAAGAAUAACAAUUUUAUUUAACAAGAAAGUUUAUGACACGAGUAGAUAAAACAGAAUACUUCAGUCUACAAUGUUAUUUCACUUCAAGGUUUUCUCAGUUGUUCACACUUAAUACUUUGGUUCUUAACAAGGUGGUACUUUCUGUCAGUUACACACCCCUAGACAACCCUGCUGUUGAGGCACUCCAAGGUUUCACUGGUUUGGGAGUCUUCUCUUACUAGAAGAAUCUCUCCCCUCCUGACUGGAAUAAGUAGACUGUCUCUUUACAGCUUCUACUUCUCCUGUCUCAACCUCAGCCCCCCAGUUAAUUCCUGGCCUAAAUGCUCUUACAGGACACCACACACUGUCCUUCACACUAAGCUCAGAGACUCCUUUCUCUAGCGUGUGAUAUUUUCCUCAGAGUGGAUGUUUCUGCCCAGAACCAACACUCACUCCCUAUCUUCCUACCUAUCCACCCAACCUCUCAAUCCCAACCUACUCCAAAACCUCCUCCCAACACUCCCUCCAAAACGCACUCCUUCUUUCUCUCCAUAUUCUCUCCUUUUCAACUCCCCCUCCUGGAACCUUGGCCAAUCAGAUGGUGCCAUACAUUAACCAUUUUCUGGCAUGGGAAAAAGAAAAAGGAAAUACUUGGGGACCCAACCUGCCCCAACAAAAACAAACUUUUCCUUCACAGUCAUCCAGAUAAAUGAUGUCAUAGAGAUAAAUAAUAAAUACCUCACAGGAAUCUUCUGAGGAUUAAAUAGGGAGGGGGAAACUAUGUACACAGCCUUGAGCUUCUUGGAGGAAGUGGAUGCAGAUAAAAAAUAAAUCGGAAAAAUAGAAACUGAAAGUAAGUUAAAUUGAUAGAUUGGUUCAUCCCUAGUCCAGGAUCCUGUCCUCACACUGGCCAUCCCAAUGAUUAUGGAAGCUCACAGUCAGGACCUCAGUGAAACAACACUCUGGCUUACUCUGAGUUCCAGCAACUGAUAUCUGAAAUAUGCAACUUUUUAUACUGGAGGUAGUACAUAGGCAUCAUGGUUAGUAGCCACUGAGAAUCUUAUUUUCCAUCAAUUUGUCUAAUUCCCUUAUAAAGCCAUUCAAAUUGGUGGCAUUGACUACCUCUUGUAGAAAAUUCCAUAGUUUAAUUGUGCUAAGAUGUAAGUUUGUAACCAAACAGUGGGAAGAAAAUAUAUUUAAGUGAGAGUCUGGAUGGGGGGGAAGGUUGGCCAUGGGCAAGGGCCGAGUUCACCUCCCCACCUCUUGGAAAUAAUUUAACUGGUAUUCUGGGCAGUGGCUUCAAGAGUUUUAAUUAAUGAGUGUUUUAUUCAUUCUAUUCUAUUCUAUUAAAAUGCUUUUAAAAUUGAACCCCUUUUAAUUUAGAAGUAUUAAUUGACUCUCACCUCCUCCUUUGUGUGUCACUUAGCAAACUGCAAAACCAAUUAAUAAUAAUGUUAAUGAUAAUAAUAAUAAUAAUAAUUAAUAAUUCAUGAAGUAAACUUUUGCUUCUGUCUUCAGCAUUACCUCUGCACUGCAGAUAUAGUUAUAACAAGACUGGAAUGACAUACAAUAGCUAUCUUGAAACAACUUGUGACUCCGAUAAAGAUUCCUGUGAGGCCAGUGUUCUGCGUACAAAUAUAAG
rnacentral:lncRNA from 1 species